rnacentral:misc_RNA from 1 species
GAUGAAGAACGUAGCGAAAUGCGAUAAGUAAUGUGAAUUGCAGAAUUCCGUGAAUCAUCGAAUCUUUGAACGCACAUUGCGCCCCCUGGCAUUCCGGGGGGCAUGCCUGUCCGAGCGUCAUUUCUGCCCUCAAGCACGGCUUGUGUGUUGGGUGUGGUCCCCCCGGGGACCUGCCCGAAAGGCAGCGGCGACGUCCGUCUGGUCCUCGAGCGUAUGGGGCUCUGUCACUCGCUCGGGAAGGACCUGCGGGGGUUGGUCACCACCAUGUUUUACCACGGUUGACCUCGGAUCAGGUAGGAGUUACCCGCUGAACUUAAGCAUAUCAAUAAGCGAGGA